CGAACGCUGGCGGCGUGCUUAACACAUGCAAGUCGAACGAAGAGCGAUGGAAGCUUGCUUCUAUCAAUCUUAGUGGCGAACGGGUGAGUAACGCGUAAUCAACCUGCCCUUCAGAGGGGGACAACAGUUGGAAACGACUGCUAAUACCGCAUACGAUCUAACCUCGGCAUCGAGGAUAGAUGAAAGGUGGCCUCUAUUUAUAAGCUAUCACUGAAGGAGGGGAUUGCGUCUGAUUAGCUAGUUGGAGGGGUAACGGCCCACCAAGGCGAUGAUCAGUAGCCGGUCUGAGAGGAUGAACGGCCACAUUGGGACUGAGACACGGCCCAGACUCCUACGGGAGGCAGCAGUGGGGAAUCUUCCGCAAUGGACGAAAGUCUGACGGAGCAACGCCGCGUGAGUGAUGACGGCCUUCGGGUUGUAAAGCUCUGUUAAUCGGGACGAAAGGCCUUCUUGCGAAUAGUUAGAAGGAUUGACGGUACCGGAAUAGAAAGCCAC
rnacentral:rRNA from 1 species